ACACAUGCAAGUCGAACGGAGCACCCUUGAUUGAGGUUUCGGCCAAAUGAUAGGAAUGCUUAGUGGCGGACUGGUGAGUAACGCGUGAGGAACCUGCCUUUCAGAGGGGGACAACAGUUGGAAACGACUGCUAAUACCGCAUGACGCAUUUUGAUCGCAUGGUCGAAAUGCCAAAGAUUUAUCGCUGAAAGAUGGCCUCGCGUCUGAUUAGAUAGUUGGCGGGGUAACGGCCCACCAAGUCGACGAUCAGUAGCCGGACUGAGAGGUUGACCGGCCACAUUGGGACUGAGAUACGGCCCAGACUCCUACGGGAGGCAGCAGUGGGGAAUAUUGGGCAAUGGGCGCAAGCCUGACCCAGCAACGCCGCGUGAAGGAAGAAGGCUUUCGGGUUGUAAACUUCUUUUAAGUGGGAAGAGCAGAAGACGGUACCACUUGAAUAAGCCACGGCUAACUACGUGCCAGCAGCCGCGGUAAUACGUAGGUGGCAAGCGUUGUCCGGAUUUACUGGGUGUAAAGGGCGUGCAGCCGGGCAUGCAAGUCAGAUGUGAAAUCUCAGGGCUUAACCCUGAAACUGCAUUUGAAACUGUAUGUCUUGAGUGCCGGAGAGGUAAUCGGAAUUCCUUGUGUAGCGGUGAAAUGCGUAGAUAUAAGGAAGAACACCAGUGGCGAAGGCGGAUUACUGGACGGUAACUGACGGUGAGGCGCGAAAGCGUGGGGAGCGAACAGGAUUAGAUACCCUGGUAGUCCACGCUGUAAACGAUGGAUACUAGGUGUGCGGG
rnacentral:rRNA from 1 species